UCGAACGGCAGCACGGACUUCGGUCUGGUGGCGAGUGGCGAACGGCUGUUUAAUACAUCGGAACGUACCCAGUAAUGGGGGAUAACUAGUCGAAAGAUUAGCUAAUACCGCAUACGCCCUACGGGGGAAAGAGGGGGAUCGCAAGACCUCUUGUUAUUGGAGCGGCCGAUGGCUGAUUAGCUAGUUGGUGGGGUAAAGGCCUACCAAGGCGACGAUCAGUAGCGGGUCUUAGAGGACGAUCCGCCACACUGGAACUGAGACACGGUCCAGACUCCUACGGGAGGCAGCAGUGGGGAAUCUUGGACAAUGGGCGAAAGCCUGAUCCAGCAAUGCCGCGUGCGUGAAGAAGGCCUUCGGGUUGUAAAGCGCUUUUGUCUGGGAGCAAAUCCUUGUGGCUAAUACCCACCGGGGAUGAGAGUACCAGAAGAAUAAGGACCGGCUAACUACCUGCCAGCAGCCGCGGUAAUACGUAGGGUCCAAGCGUUAAUCGGGAUUACUGGGCGUAAAGCGUGCGCAGGUGGUUUGUUAAGCGCGAUGUGAAAUCCCCGAGCUCAACUUGGGAAUUGCAUUGCGAACUGACUGACUAGAGUACGGCAGAGGGGGGUGGAAUUCCACGUGUAGCAGUGAAAUGCGUAGAGAUGUGGAGGAACACCGAUGGCGAAGGCAACCCCCUGGGCUGAUACUGAUACUCAUGCACGAAAGCGUGGGGAGCAAACAGGAUUAGAUACCCUGGUAGUCCACGCCCUAAACGAUGUCUACUAGUUGUU
rnacentral:rRNA from 1 species